rnacentral:rRNA from 1 species
CCAGAGAACUUAGCAGAGAUGCUUUGGUGCCUUCGGGGAACUCUGAGACAGGUGCUGCAUGGCUGUCGUCAGCUCGUGUUGUGAAAUGUUGGGUUAAGUCCCGCAACGAGCGCAACCCUUAUCCUUUGUUGCCAGCGGUCCGGCCGGGAACUCAAAGGAGACUGCCAGUGAUAAACUGGAGGAAGGUGGGGAUGACGUCAAGUCAUCAUGGCCCUUACGAGUAGGGCUACACACGUGCUACAAUGGCGCAUACAAAGAGAAGCGACCUCGCGAGAGCAAGCGGACCUCAUAAAGUGCGUCGUAGUCCGGAUUGGAGUCUGCAACUCGACUCCAUGAAGUCGGAAUCGCUAGUAAUCGUAGAUCAGAAUGCUACGGUGAAUACGUUCCCGGGCCUUGUACACACCGCCCGUCACACCAUGGGAGUGGGUUGCAAAAGAAGUAGGUAGCUUAACCUUCGGGAGGGCGCUUACCACUUUGUGAUUCAUGACUGGGGUGAAGUCGUAACAAGGUAAGCGUACGUGU